GUGAGUCAUCGAAUCUUUGAACGCACAUUGCGCCUUCUGGUAUUCCGGUAGGCAUAUCUGUUUGAGCGUCAGCAAAACCUCUCAGCAUUAAUUUGUUGGUACUGGGCGAGAGGGUAGGCUUCCGGGCCACCUCUCGCUUUAAACUUGCUGUACGACCGCAAGCUACUACUGCUCGGUUCAUGAAGUUUGGUAUUUACAUAUUAUUUUCAUAGCUUGGUGUUGGCGAACGGCGUUAAACCCGAUGCUGCUUAUCUGCAGCUGAAGUUUGACCUCAAAUCAGAUAAGGAUACCCGCUGAACU
rnacentral:misc_RNA from 1 species